rnacentral:rRNA from 1 species
AUUGAACGCCUGCGGCAGGCCUAACACAUGCAAGUCGAACGAGUUGCGGACGGGUGAGUAAUGUCUGGGAAACUGCCUGAUGGUGGGGGAUAACUACUGGAAACGGUCGCUAAUACCGCAUACCAUCGGAUGUGCCCAGAUGGGAUUAGCUCGUAGGUGGGGUAACGGCUCACCUAGGCGACGAUCCCUAGCUGGUCUGAGAGGAUGACCAGGCACACAGAAACUGAGACACGGUCCAGACUCCUACGGUAGGCAGCAGUGGGGAAUAUUGCACAAUGGGCGCAAGCCUGAUGCAGCCAUGCCGCGUGUAUGAAGAAGGCCGUCGGGUUGUAAAGUACUUGCAGCGGGGAGGCGUUAGCCGCAGAAGAAGCACCGGCUAACGCCGUGCCAGCAGCCGCGGUAAUAC